rnacentral:rRNA from 1 species
UACGUAGGUGGCAAGCGUUGUCCGGAAUUAUUGGGCGUAAAGCGCGCGCAGGCGGUCCUUUAAGUCUGAUGUGAAAGCCCGGGGCUCAACCCCGGAGGGUCAGCUGAUACUGGCAGACUAGAGUACAGAAGAGGUAACUGGAAUUCCCGGUGUAGCGGUGAAAUGCGUAGAUAUCGGGAAGAACACCCGUGGCGAAGGCGGUUCUCUGGGACGGUACUGACGCUGAGACGCGAAAGCGUGGGGAGCGAACAGG